GCGGCCUAUCAGCUUGUUGGUGAGGUAACGGCUCACCAAGGCUAAGACGGGUAGCUGGUCUGAGAGGACGACCAGCCUCACUGGAACUGAGACACGGUCCAGACACCUACGGGUGNCAGCAGUCGAGAAUUUUUCUCAAUGGGGGAAACCCUGAAGGAGCGACGCCGCGUGGGGGAUGAAUGGCUUCGGCCCGUAAACCCCUGUCAUUUGCGAUCAAACCUUACGUUUUANUAAAACGUAAGCUGAUAGUAGCGAAAGAGGAAGGGACGGCUAACCCUGUGCCAGCAGCCGCGGUAUACAGAGGUCCCAAGCGUUGUUCGGAUUCACUGGGCGUAAAGGGUGCGUAGGCGGUCGGGUAAGUCUGACGUGAAAUCUUCGAGCCUAACUCGGAAACUGCGUCGGAUACUAUUCUGCUAGAGGAAUGGAGGGGGAGACUGGAAUUCC
rnacentral:rRNA from 1 species